AUUUCCAGGCCAUGUCCAGCCAUGGCGGCCCCCGCCAAGAUAAGAGACAAGAAGACUCUGGUCUCCCAGACAUGAACGUGGUAUUUGAAGAUGACCGGGACCGGGUGUUUACCGGCGUCCUCCUCAACCCUCAGGAGGGGGUAGGAGUGGUGGGAUAUGCCAUGGAAAACAAUGGAACUAUUGCACCGGGAUUCAACAUCUACGG